UACGGAGGGUGCGAGCGUUGUCCGGAGUCACUGGGCGUAAAGGGCGCGUAGGCGGCCUGGUAAGUAGGGGGUGAAAUCCUGCGGCUUAACCGCAGGGCUGCCUUCUAAACUGUCAGGCUCGAGCACGGUAGAGGCAGAUGGAAUUCCCGGUGUAGCGGUGGAAUGCGUAGAGAUCGGGAAGAACAUCAGUGGCGAAGGCGGUCUGCUGGGCCGUUGCUGACGCUGAGGCGCGACAGCGUGGGGAGCAAACAGG
rnacentral:rRNA from 1 species